UACGGGGGGGGCAAGCGUUGUUCGGAAUUACUGGGCGUAAAGGGCUCGUAGGUGGCCAACUAAGUCAGACGUGAAAUCCCUCGGCUUAACCGGGGAACUGCGUCUGAUACUGGAUGGCUUGAGUUCGGGAGAGGGAUGCGGAAUUCCAGGUGUAGCGGUGAAAUGCGCAGAUAUCAGGAGGAACACCGGUGGCGAAGGCGGCUCACUGGGGGUUUUCUGACGCUGAGGAACGAAAGCCAGGGGAGCGAACGGG
rnacentral:rRNA from 1 species